AUUGAACGCUGGCGGCAUGCCUUACACAUGCAAGUCGAACGGUAACGGGCCUUCGGGUGCCGACGAGUGGCGAACGGGUGAGUAAUAUAUCGGAACGUGCCCAGUAGUGGGGGAUAGCCCGGCGAAAGCCGGAUUAAUACCGCAUGAGACCUGAGGGUGAAAGCGGGGGAUCGCAAGACCUCGCGCUAUUGGAGCGGCCGAUAUCAGAUUAGCUAGUUGGUGGGGUAAAGGCCUACCAAGGCAACGAUCUGUAGUUGGUCUGAGAGGACGACCAGCCACACUGGGACUGAGACACGGCCCAGACUCCUACGGGAGGCAGCAGUGGGGAAUUUUGGACAAUGGGCGCAAGCCUGAUCCAGCAAUGCCGCGUGCAGGAAGAAGGCCUUCGGGUUGUAAACUGCUUUUGUCAGGGAAGAAAUCUUCUGGGUUAAUACCUCGGGAGGAUGACGGUACCUGAAGAAUAAGCACCGGCUAACUACGUGCCAGCCGCCGCGGUAAAAC
rnacentral:rRNA from 1 species